rnacentral:rRNA from 1 species
UACGUAGGUGGCAAGCGUUAUCCGGAAUUACUGGGUGUAAAGGGUGAGUAGGCGGGGAUACAAGUCAGAUGUGAAAACUGUGGGCUCAACUCACAGCCUGCAUUUGAAACAGUAUCUCUUGAGAGUCGGAGAGGUAAACGGAAUUCCCAGUGUAGCGGUGAAAUGCGUAGAUAUUGGGAGGAACACCAGUGGCGAAGGCGGUUUACUGGACGACAACUGACGCUGAGACACGAAAGCGUGGGGAGCAAACAGGAUUAGAUACCCGUGUAGU